GAUAUCAUUCUUUUUUUAUCUUUAAAGAACCUUGUUCUAAAUGUUCAGCACUACACUUGGGUCCUGAAUACCUGAGUGUAGUAGUCAUAGUCAGCUGGAAUAAGGACUUUCAUUUGGCUAUAGAGAAUAUCUGAGUGGUCUUCUCUGAUGGGUACCACAUAACAGCUGAAACAUACUACUAUGGCUAUGCAUAUUUGGAAAUAGUAGGUGUAUAUCUAGAUAAUUGUUUCACAUAUUAAUGAACUGGUUACAGUAUAGUUAAACAUUUACUCAGCAGGAAAUAUCAUAAUAUUUUCAAAAGUAAUAAUGACUAUUUUUGUUUCCUAUUCAUAAAGUAUGGAGAACAGGCAUGAAGAUUUUCAUUACAAAAAGAGUAGAUCCAGGCAUGUUGGCACACAUCUGUAUUUUUAGCACUUGAAAGGUAAAGAAAGGAAUAUCAGGAUUUAAAAGUCAUCCUCAGCUACAUUGUAGUUUCAAGACCAGCCUGUGAAUGAUAGGAAAGCCUGUCUUAAUAUAGGCAAAAGACAAAAACAAAACAAGAAAUAGGCAAGGUGUGGUAGCACAUAGAGAAUCUCAGCAGUCAACAGUCUGAUGCAGGAUGGACCGCAAGUUUGAUGUUAGUCUAGACUUCACAACUAGCCAGCUGAACACACACACACAGACACACACACAGACACACACACACACACACACACACACACAGACACACAGACACACACACACACACACACACACACCUACAAACGGUGGAAGUAUAAAACUAUGCCAUGUAAAAAAUGAACAAGUAGAAAAUUAUUUGUGAAAACAUUUCAGUAUUGCUGAUGUUUUAAAAGGAAUAAUAUUUAGAAUAUAUAAAUUUUGUAGCUCGAUUAUACAGAUUUCAGUUUGUUUUUUUUUGUGUGUGAAACUUAUCUUUAAUUUUAAAAGGGAGUGGUACCUACUCCCCUACUUUUAAUCUGGUUUAAUUGGGUAGUAAAAUGUGUAGGAUUUCCUCAAAAGCCUUGGGAGAAAAUCAUAUAUUGUCUUGAUUGUCAUAGAAAAUAGGUAAAUCAGUUGGAAUGGGUCAGCAUGUCAAAUGUGUUCAGGGACUAACCAUGUACAAUUCCCAUUGCACAGAUGGUCAACAGAAUUUAAAAAAAAAAAUCCAAGACUAGUACAGUAUCUGCUUCACAUGUUGGGUUCUUCUGGAAUGUAAAAUAGUUUUUGCUACUUUGUUACACAGAUGUGUAUAAUUCACAUAUUCAACCAUGUAAAAACACCCUUAUGAUAGAGUUUAAACUAAAAAAAAUAUUAGCUUUUUAUUGUCCUUCCUGAACCAUGUGUUCUGCCUACAUUCCGUCCUCUCUCAUCACAUAACAUUACCUUAUCCUGGUCUCCUUUCUAUGUUUUGAGACUUUACCCAUACUUACAUCAGUGUGUGUGUGUGUGUGUAUGUGUGUGUGUGUGUAUGUGUAUAUGUAUAUAUAUAUGUAUAUAUAUAUAUGAAUAUAUUAUAAGCUGGGAUCCACUAGACUCCACAUAUGAGGGAGAAUAAAUAG
rnacentral:lncRNA from 1 species